AGCCUAGCAUGCUCCUCCCACUUGGACCCGAAAACCCAGAACCCCAGCCGGCAGUGAUGAAAAGACGUGGUGAAGGAGGGAGACGGGGGAGUGAGGAAGUGGAAUAGAGAGAGCGUACAGGAAAACACACAGUUCAAAGAUAAGGAGGUGAAAAAACAGAAACGAGACGAGGAAAACACGCCAGAGCUCAGAGCCUCUGUUAUCACAACACAGAGCCCCAGCAGCUCCUGCACCGGCUCUGUUUCCAUACCUCAGUCCCAGGGGAGCUCCUGCUCUGCUCCUCAAGGACGACUCGCUGGAGCCCCAGGAGAAACACACACCACCACAACCAGCAACUCCUGCUGAGCGACUUGGGACAACAUAAAGAAAGCAAGUCUUUGUGUUUGUUUCUGUUCAUUGUAAAUCGCAUUACAUGGAGGAAGAAGGAAAAAUAUAGUUUUAUAUUUCAAGAGGGGGCAGGACUAAAUAAGAAACAACACGGCUGAGCCGCGACGAACCGCCGUAAAUCAUGUAUUUGACUUGUUGUGUUUCCAUUCAGCCUGUCUGUGCUCACACAUACAGUAAUACUGACAUUAAAGCUGUUCUCACU